rnacentral:rRNA from 1 species
AUGAACUUUGAUUUGCACAUGAAUUCGGUGGAUAAUUUAACAGGCCUUAGUGAACUUAGAAAUCUCAGGUCUCUUAAUUUCUGCUGCGAUCAUGCUGAACAUACCACCAGCCAACAUGGAAUUCACAUGGACAUUUUCUGGUGUUCUGUGGCCAAACUUCUCUGUUGCAAUCUGAGAAAUCCUGGAUCUGCUAGUAACAUAUUUUGUCCUCCAUCUGUUGAGUUGGCUUCUCUGAUCACUAGCAAUAGUGAGAGCAAUCUUAUGGAACUCCAUGUUGCAGCAACUUGGAUGUUUCCGAGGGUGCCAAUUUGGACUGGUCAAUUCCAAAAGCUCUCCACGUUAGGAAUUUGUGUUGAGAAGAUGAUGCCGGUGGACUUUGAUUUGCUAGCAGGGUUACCUAAUCUACUGCACCUGUGGUUGUGGAUACGAAAAUCCCCAGAAAUGAGGAUUAUCAUCCAUGGUGGUGCGAUGGCAUUCAAGCUUCUAAAAUAUUUGAGAAUCACGUGCUUCGCUCCCUGCCUAACCUUCAUGGCAGGGGCAGUGUCUGAACUCCAAACCUUGGAACUGGAUAUCCAUGAGGACGGGGGGGAGCGUCAUGGCCCCUCGACCAUUCAGGGCGUGGAGCACCUGUCGAGACUCAGGCAAGUUGAUGUUUAUAUUCACUUUGAGGGAGCUGAUACAGAGUCACAAAGAAGGGCUGCCGACGCGGAGGCUAUCUUGAAGAAUGUCAUCAGCGUCUAUCCAGGACACCCGAGCAUCAACAUCAGGCCUACAGAUAACAGAAACUCUCUUUGUAAGAUCCAUGAACUUUCCAGUGACACUUCUGAUAGGGACGAAGAGGCGGAAAGGCAAGGUAAUGAUCCAGUUGAUCGAUCUGCCGAGGCAGCCACGCAUGCUCCAGCCGCCGUUGCUGAUGGAUCAACAAGGAAUUCACGGUAG